ensembl:lncRNA
GGAAGCCGGGGGCGUGCACCAAGGUGAAAUUCAAGAAAGGCCGCGGGGCUCUGCCCCAGGGGAGGCCCGGCCAGGGUGCAGCCCACAGGCCACGCGCCUCCAGGGCCGGCUCUCUGCUCCUCCUGGCAGGACAGCUGUGCCCGGGGCCACGCUCCCCUUUUCCACAGAAACGUGGCCCCUCGGGAGAGCCACCACUGGCAGGCACGCGCCAGCUGCCUGGCUCAGUCCAGGCCCCAGGAUGACCUGAGGACCCCACGGACAGCUCUCAGUCCCCCUCCAACCCCGGGAGGAGAGGCCAGGGACAGCCAGGCCCAGCAGGGCAGGCAGCUGGCACUCGGGCCGGGAGUGGGCAUCACACACACCCACUGGGUUGCCUGGGUGCUCCCCGCACCUUCUCCACGGCUCCCCAUCCCAUGUCACCCUGGGGGGAGGCCCGAGGCUGGCAGGGAGGUCAGGAGGCCUCUCAGGGACCGCGUGAGGGCAGGGAAGCGUCUGCCCAGUGCCGGCCCGGUGACAGGCUCGGCUCCGGGCAAAGCUUCCUGGCCUACAGCCGCCUCACGCCCCAGCCCCUACACGGGGGCUGUGGGGCCCCGGCCUGACACGGAGCUGGUGCAGCAGGGCCGAGGGCAGAGGCUGCCGGGCUGGAGGUCAGAAGGCCUCCUGUGGGUGCUGCCAAGACAAGGGCCCCGACCCACGGCCCAGCCCCCUGGGUCGGGUGCCCCUUCCGUGGGUGGCUGGGUUUCUCUGCCCGUCUGCAGGGUUCCCUCCGUCCCCACGCGGACCAGGGAGCCUCGGCCGGGACCACACAGCGCGCCCUGGAACCCACGUUUGCAGCAGGGGCCGCGGAGCCCAACGGCGGGACGUCAGGCUGGGAGGGCUGCUCACGCGCGUGGCACCUGCUGUCAGGCUUUCAACCACCCCCUGCCCUCUGGCCAUGCUUGCCCGGCCCCUCUGGCAGCCCCCCCGCCCCAGGCGUGGACAGGCCCAGGCCCAGCGAUGCUCCAGGGGCAGCCUCAACAACGUGGACAAGGGCUGUCUUUGCACCAGGGACCACGGGUGAUUUUUCAACAGUGCUUUGAGCUUUGCUCUCUUUUCCUAGUUUUUAGAACUAAGAAUGUAUUUCUUUUUUUAAAAGUACCGAGAAGAUGUUGUUAAAAAGCAGUUAUGAGAGUUCCCCUCGUGGCUCAGUGGUUAACGCACCCGACUGGGAUCCAUGGGGAUGCGGAUUCGAUCCCUGGCCUCGCUCAGUGGAUUAAGGAUCCCGUGUUGCCAUGAGCUGCAGGGCAGGUCACAGAUGUGGCUCAGAUCUGUCAUUGCUGGGGCUGUGGCGUAGGCUGGUGGCUACAGCUCCAAUUGGACCCCUAGCCUGGGAACCUCCUUAUGCCGCAGUGGGUGCAGCCCUAAAAAAAAAAAAAAAAAAAAAAAAAAUAUUGUCUACAAAUGUAUUUAAAAAUUGAAAAAUAAAACAAACAAAGCAAUUAUGACGUGCA